rnacentral:lncRNA from 1 species
GAAUGCUCUGAUUCUUCUCUCGUCCGAGAAGAUACGUAUGCAUAGGAUGCGACAUCCUAGCGAGCAUGUGUCGUUUCCCCAGUCCGAACUACUUCGACUCUGAUGUCUAUGCCUGAUAGACUAAGUAGGCCCAGGAUGCGAUAUCCUGCCGAGUCAGUUUCAGUCAGUCUCUUUCGCUUCUUUCAGCCAGUGUGUGUGUGUUUUAGCAGUG